UGCAAUAUGGUAAAUAGAUGAACAAACUAUCACCUUCAUCGGUCAUCUGAUUGUCACAACCAGGAUAGCCAGUGCCAUCAUCUCCAUCAACCAUGAUGGUGUUGUCAUCAUGUUGGGCGGAGCCACCUAAAAAAGGUAACCUGUGAGAAUCCAUUCAUCAAAUCAUAGGUAAUAGAACAAUAGUUCAAAAGGAUUACCUUCAUUGGCCUCAUGGUUAUACCCAUUAGGUCAGUGAAUGGCAUCACCUCCUAUGGUCAUUCUACUUAGGUGAUGGUCUUUUGAUCCGUCGAUUUGAUUACUAUUUCAUAUGUCGUAAUUUAGAGUAAUCCUAAUACAAGACACUGGUCAUGAUUUUAUAUCCUUCACACUAUAAAAUUAUUACUAGACAUCCCUCG
rnacentral:lncRNA from 1 species